UCCAGCUUGUUCUUUGUGAUGUGUCAUAAC
rnacentral:piRNA from 1 species